GUGGAUUAGAUACCCUGGUCGUCCACGCCGUAAACGAUGAAUACUAGGUGUAGGGGGUAUCGACCCCCCCUGUGCCGCAGCUAACGCAAUAAGUAUUCCACCUGGGGAGUACGGCCGCAAGGUUGAAACUCAAAGGAAUUGACGGGGGCCCGCACAAGCAGUGGAGUAUGUGGUUUAAUUCGACGCAACGCGAAGAACCUUACCAGGGCUUGACAUCCUCUGACGACGCAAGAGAUUGCGUUUUCCCUUCGGGGACAGAGAGACAGGUGGUGCACGGUUGUCGUCAACU
rnacentral:rRNA from 1 species